UUCGGUUUGGAUAACUGUCGUUAUUAAUGCUUCGGUUCGGUUAAUUAACUGUUAUCAAAAUAAUAGUUCAGUUCAUAA
rnacentral:pre_miRNA from 1 species